GGAAUAUUGGACAAUGGGCGCAAGCCUGAUCCAGCAAUGCCGCGUGUGUGAAGAAGGCCUUCGGGUUGUAAAGCACUUUAAGUUGGGAGGAACGCCUUUGUGUUAAUAGCACAGAGGGGUGACGUUACCAACAGAAUACGCACCGGCUAACCCCGUGCCACCAGCCGAGGUAAUACGGAGGGUGCAAGCGUUAAUCGGAUUUACGGGGCGUAAAGCGCGCGUAGGCGGUUUGUUAAGUCAGAUGUGAAAUCCCCGGGCUCAACCUGGGAAUGGCAUUUGAGACUGGCAGGCUAGAGUGUGGUAGAGGUGAGUGGAAUUUCAGGUGUAGCGGUGAAAUGCGUAGAGAUCUGAAGGAACAUCAGUGGCGAAGGCGACUCACUGGGCCAUUACUGACGCUGAGGUGCGAAAGCGUGGGUAGCAAAC
rnacentral:rRNA from 1 species